GGCGGCAGGCUUAACACAUGCAAGUCGAGCGGGCGAGGUUGCUUCGGUAACUGAGCUAGCGGCGGACGGGUGAGUAAAGCUUAGGAAUCUGCCUAUUAGUGGGGGACAACAUUCCGAAAGGGAUGCUAAUACCGCAUACGUCCUACGGGAGAAAGCAGGGGAUCACUUGUGACCUUGCGCUAAUAGAUGAGCCUAAGUCGGAUUAGCUAGUUGGUGGGGUAAAGGCCUACCAAGGCGACGAUCUGUAGCGGGUCUGAGAGGAUGAUCCGCCACACUGGGACUGAGACACGGCCCAGACUCCUACGGGAGGCAGCAGUGGGGAAUAUUGGACAAUGGGGGGAACCCUGAUCCAGCCAUGCCGCGUGUGUGAAGAAGGCCUUUUGGUUGUAAAGCACUUUAAGUGGGGAGGAGGCUCUCUUGGUUAAUACCUGGGAAAAGUGGACGUUACCCACAGAAUAAGCACCGGCUAACUCUGUGCCAGCAGCCGCGGUAAUACAGAGGGUGCGAGCGGAGCG
rnacentral:rRNA from 1 species